AAUUCUUCCAUAUGAGAUGGAAUUAUAAGAACAUUUUAAAAUAGAUAGAUCUCGCAACAAGACUUCCUAUAUCCACUUUUCUUUC